rnacentral:rRNA from 1 species
AUAGAGCGGCCCGAUAUCGGAAUAGCUAGUGGGUGGGGUAACGGCUCACCCAGGCGACGAUCCGUAGCUGGUUUGAGAGGACGACCAGCCACACUGGGACUGAGACACGGCCCAGACUCCUACGGGAGGCAGCAGUGGGGAAUUUUGGACAAUGGGGGAAACCCUGAUCCAGCCAUCCCGCGUGUGCGAUGAAGGCCUUCGGGUUGUAAAGCACUUUUGGCAGGAAAGAAACGUCAUGGGCUAAUACCCCGUGAAACUGACGGUACCUGCAGAAUAAGCACCGGCUAACUACGUGCCAGCAGCCGCGGUAAUACGUAGGGUGCAAGCGUUAAUCGGAAUUACUGGGCGUAAAGCGUGCGCAGGCGGUUCGGAAAGAAAGAUGUGAAAUCCCAGAGCUUAACUUUGGAACUGCAUUUUUAACUACCGAGCUAGAGUGUGUCAGAGGGAGGUGGAAUUCCGCGUGUAGCAGUGAAAUGCGUAGAUAUGCGGAGGAACACCGAUGGCGAAGGCAGCCUCCUGGGAUAACACUGACGCUCAUGCACGAAAGCGUGGGGAGCAAACAGGAUUAGAUAC